GCGCCAGUGGUUUAGUGGUAAAAUCCAUCGUUGCCGUCGAUGGGCCCCGCGUUCGAUUCGCGGCUGGCGCA
rnacentral:tRNA from 1 species